GAUAAAUCAAAGUUAGAUCAGCAACAUAAGAGUGCAGUUCACAUUCCUGCGGGAGUAAAUGAUGAAAGCAAUGUUGAUCAAGAUUUGUCUGACUCUCAGAUCACUCUUCCGGAUGAGCUUCUUCCCAGUCUUAUUGUGUAUGUCAAUCUUGAACGAAGUAUAAUUGUACAUCCAUCGACAAAUCAAGCACAACAAACGUCAAUGCAUGUUUCAAGGAUUAGGCGACCAUCUAGAUACAAUGAGUCACCAUUCACAAUGAAAUUUGGUUCAGCAGAUGCUUAAUAAUAAAGUAAGCACGGAAGAGAAAUGGAGAACAUUCGAUCAGAAGUAUCCCUUCAUAUCUCAUCCAGUUAAUGCGAUAAAAGACACUAAAGCCACCAACAAGUUCAUGACGUGGCUUCUUUGGAUCUUCUUAAAUAUCAUUCGAAGAGGAACAACAAAGAAGAACAUUAUUUGAAGGGAAAGGCAAAAGUAUCAGUUAUCAACUUUAGAAUUUUAUCUGUUGAAGACAAGAAUUGAUUCUACGUUAUGGGUACUUCUAGCCAAAAGUGGUCAGAUGAGGUAAGUGAUGUAUUAU